rnacentral:rRNA from 1 species
GGAAUUUUGCGCAAUGGGCGAAAGCCUGACGCAGCAACGCCGCGUGUGUGACGAAGGCCCUAGGGUUGUAAAGCACUGUGGGAAGGGAAGAAAAAACGGGGGUUGUACCCCGUCUUGACGGUACCUUGUUAGAAAGCACCGGCUAACUCCGUGCCAGCAGCCGCGGUAAUACGGAGGGUGCAAGCGUUGUUCGGAAUUAUUGGGCGUAAAGGGCGUGUAGGUGGCACUCCAAGUCUGAUGUGAAAGCCCACGGCUCAACCGUGGAACUGCAUUGGAAACUGGGGAGCUCGAGUGUUGGAGGGGGUCGCGGAAUUCCCGGUGUAGAGGUGAAAUUCGUAGAUAUCGGGAGGAACACCAGUGGCGAAGGCGGCGACCUGGCCAAUCACUGACACUGAUGCGCGAAAGCGUGGGGAGCAAAC